UACGUAGGGUGCGAGCGUUGUCCGGAAUUAUUGGGCGUAAAGAGCUCGUAGGCGGUCUGUCGCGUCGAUCGUGAAAACUUGGGGCUUAACCCUGAGCUUGCGGUCGAUACGGGCAUGACUGGAGUUCGGCAGGGGAGACUGGAAUUCCUGGUGUAGCGGUGAAAUGCGCAGAUAUCGGGAGGAACACCUAUGGCGAAGGCAGCUCGCUGGGACGUUACUGACGCUGAGACGCGAAAGCGUGGGGAGCAAACAGG
rnacentral:rRNA from 1 species